GCAUUCAGGAGUGAUUCUGCUGUUAGGCAUUAUCUUAGUAUUUUUCCACUGUGUUUUAUCAUUAGGCAAGUCCCUAAGCUUCCCCUCUGUUGCCGCCAGAGCCGAGUCUGUAACCUCUGGCAACGUCACAGAUCCCCAGGCCUCUUGGUUUCGACAAAUAUCUGCCACCUAACACUUCCAUGAUGUGUUGGGACUUGGCUUCGCCUACAAUCCCAUGAGGAACUUCCUACCAAGUUUCCUGAUGGCCUUCUGAAAGGACGCCUUAAAACAAAUGCCUAAUUUAGCCUGCUUGGAGCAGUUUGCGAAAACCUGCCACCCUGAGACUCACGACUGACUUGAUGACCAAUCUGAGAGAAACGGGAAGUUCCAAAGCCACAUUCCAAAGCCAAGAACAGCUAACUUUAACGUGUGAAAGACGUGGCACUCCAAGGACAACUGAAGGACAGUGCUCUUGUUAGCCAAGGAGACACAAGAUCCCUGGAUGAGGUCACUGAGGCACCGAGAAGUGAAG